rnacentral:rRNA from 1 species
AUUGAACGCUGGCGGCAGGCCUAACACAUGCAAGUCGAGCGGAGCGGCGGACGGGUGAGUGAGGCCUAGGUAUCUGCCUGGUAGUGGGGGAGAACGUCCGGAAAUGGGCGCUAAUACCGCAUACUAUCAGCGGAGCCUAGGUCGGAUUAGCUAGUUGGUGGGGUAAAGGCCUACCCAGGCGACGAUCCGUAGCUGGUCUGAGAGGAUGAUCAGCCACACUGGAACUGAGACACGGUCCAGACUCCUACGGGAGGCAGCAGGGGGGAAUAUUGGACAAUGGGCGAAAGUCUGAUCCAGCCAUGCCGCGUGUGUGAAGAAGGUCUUCGGAUUGUAAAGCACUUUAAGUUGGGAGGCGUUACCAGCAGAAUAAGCACCGGCUAACUUCGUGCCAGCAGCCGCGGUAAUUC